CCACCUACCUCUCCCACACUCUAGAAAAGUAGUUUCAAAUGCAGUUCUGUAGUUAAGCUACAGGAUUUCACAAUCUGACUUACUUUCCCGCCUACGCACUCUUUACGCCCAGUGAUUCCGAGUAACGCUUGCACCCUCCGUAUUACCGCGGCUGCUGGCACGGAGUUAGCCGGUGCUUAUUCGUUAGAUACCGUCAUAAUCUUCUCUAACAAAAGGAGUUUACAAUCCUAAAACCUUCAUCCUCCACGCGGCGUUGCUGCUUCAGGCUUUCGCCCAUUGAGCAAUAUUCCCUACUGCUGCCUCCCGUAGGAGUCUGGACCGUGUCUCAGUUCCAGUGUGUCCGAUCACCCUCUCAGGCCGGAUACCCGUCAUAGCCUUGGUGAGCCUUUAC
rnacentral:rRNA from 1 species